AUAGUAGCGGCGCAUUCAUAAGUCCCGCCCACUGGUCUCGCCGGCGCUGCUUUCAGCGUGAGCAGAUGAGAGCGAGUCAGAGCAGAUCAGCACAGACCAGACAGUUUCUCCAGAAAAUCCAUUGAUAUAACUGGAAAUGUGAAUGAGUGCACUGAAAGUGGAGCUUUUGAAGUCGACGCGUCAGCCUGAAGUGAUGUCGUCGGAGACAGAGAAGAGAGAGAGACGGAGCGGAUCCCAGAGUGUUGAAGCACUACCGAAAGGAAAAGGACAGUGAUUCCCAAACCACAGAGAAAUUAAUUACUGUUGAUGAGUAUCAAGCACAACCUCGACAGAGACUCAGAAGAGGCUGAAAAAAUGGAGGAAAACGAAAAAUUGAGAAAUGAUGACAAAAAAAGCUACCAAAUCUGUUAAAUGAAGUGAAGAUGGCCCUGAAGUCUCUGUUUGUCAGCAUCAGUCACAUAACUUGGAAGAUGGGACAGGAUUUGCCACAGAGUAAUUGCAGAGCCCUUCCAACAGAACAGGAGCAACGUUGCAGAAAGUGUCCUCAUGUGGUGACCGCCAGCAUUGGUACAGCAAUUAAUGCCAAACUUACUGAAAUUAGAGGGAAGAAUACACAAAAACAUCUGAGAACCUUAAUGGUCUUUGAUGAUUGAUAGCCGUGACAGUGUGUUCAAGAUACAGUAUAUGUCAAGGGUCAAAGAUCUUACUGUGCUUCCUGAUUCUCUCUUUUUGGCCCCCAUGAAACCCACCUGCAGUUCUUUGUGUGGAAGGAGAUGCUGGAAUCCAUCAAACCAGUUCCUGAGAGUUUAAUCCUGAAAAAUCCUGGAGAGUCAUACUUAAAAGUGUCUCCAGGGGGCGCCAGAGUCCGACAAGCUGACAGAAUGUCUGGUCUGUAUAAAGACUUCAAUCCAGAUGAUCUGAAGAAGAAUCACAGUAGGAGCAACAAACACUGCAGUCUUAAUAAUAAUCAUAAUCUCUACAGGAAAGAUGUGAGGACAGAGAGAAAGAAGAGAAUUAAAGAAGAAGAGAAUCAUUGAAACUGUAAAUGACUUUGUAUAUGAAAGCAAGGAUAUAAAACAA